GUGGGGAAUUUUGGACAAUGGGGGCAACCCUGAUCCAGCCAUUCCGCGUGAGUGAAGAAGGCCUUCGGGUUGUAAAGCUCUUUCGGCAGGAACGAAACGGUGAGCUCUAACAUAGCUCGCUAAUGACGGUACCUGAAGAAGAAGCACCGGCUAACUACGUGCCAGCAGCCGCGGUAAUACGUAGGGUGCGAGCGUUAAUCGGAAUUACUGGGCGUAAAGCGUGCGCAGGCGGUUGUGUAAGACAGGUGUGAAAUCCCCGGGCUUAACCUGGGAACUUCGCUUGUGACUGCACGGCUAGAGGAUGGCAGAGGGUGGUGGAAUUCCACGUGUAGCAGUGAAAUGCGUAGAGAUGCGGAGGAACACCGAUGGCGAAGGCAGCCUCCUGGGAUGACACUGACGCUCAUGCACGAAAGCGUGGGGAGCAAACAGGAUUAGAAACCCUGGUAGUCC
rnacentral:rRNA from 1 species